CACAAUUCUUUAAAUUUUGUUAAAUUUGGGAAUUUAUUCUUUGCAUGUCUUCGAUUUUGAAUUGGAGUAGAACAAGAAUCGAUCUCUUAUUGCAAGGUAUUUUUUUGCCCUUAGUUAGGUAAUUUAAUUUCUUUUUUUUUUUUCUUUUUUUCGUGAAUUCUGUUUUCAAAUUUUUAUCCCUAUUUUUGUUGUUUUUUAUUUUUUAAAAAAGUUUUUUAUAGGUGUGAUGAAUUUGAUGGCGUUUUCUAGGGAGUUACUAAUGGAUUUUUCGACUAUGUUGUGAUAUCACUUUCUUGUUUUCAAGAUUGUCUUGAAUUAUUUGGAAAAGUUAAAGGUUUGCUGGCUUAAAUAGGGGUUCGUAUGCAGGCCCGUCCCUAAGGUAGGGCAAUAGGUGCCAUCGCCCGGGGCCCAACUGAAGGAGGCCCAAAUUUACAUUAAAGCCAGAUUUAUAAUAAAAAAAAGAAAAAAAAAAUUCUUAAUUAAUGAUACUACCUACGCAUGCUUUUCUCCAGUUUUCCAUAUCAUGUUCAUCAGUUCAUAUUCCCAAAUCUCAAGUUCUCAACUUCCAAUUCCUAUAUUCAUUCGUAAUUAGUUUCCCAAAAAUAUUUUAAUUGCGAUUUUCCAACUCCCCUUCCUAAAUAAUCUCUUUUCAGCCAAAUUCAAUUGAUCUUCUUCCCGUUUUUUUUUUUUUUUUUUUUUUUUUUUUUUUUUUUUUUUUUUUUGUAAUUUUCAACCACAUUAAUCUCCAAAAACAACUCUAAUUCAAUAAUCAAACGGUCUUCUUCCUUGAUUUUCAAUGGAAUUCGCCUCACAUUAUUCACCUAUAAAUAAUCCCCCAUCCAAUUAUUCUACAUCUCAAUUCAAUUUUCUGAUUUAUUUUCUUACUCUUUGUUUUAAUUUAAACACUUGUAAUGGGUAUUACGGUGGACGAAUAUCGGAAAUUUGGAGAUCGAUUUUGCUAUGCUCGAAAAAUCUGAGUCCUUUAGGAAAAAAAUGACUUAUCGAACCAAGAGAGCAAGGGAGAUACUUGCUGGCACAACAAAGUCACAUGAUCCAGUCUCAUCACAGUCACCAAUAACCACAACUGCACAUACUUCUUUUACUGCUGAAGCUUCACAACCCACCAAAAAACAAGUUGCAUAUACUACUUCUGUUGUUGAAGCUUCACAACCCACCAAAAAACAAGCUAGAAAGUCACCACAAACUGAGGUUCUUAGGGAUGACAAAUGGGGACCUUUUCCUCCACCCAUUACCACUACAAAAUGUGACCAACCACCACCUAAUAAUUUAGGAUCCAUUUGGAAAAUUCCUCCUGGUUCAACAUUGAGUUCAGUUAAGGAAGGAGUUAAUGAAAAGCUUAAAGACCAGGUCGGACACAACAAUCUUCUUCUUAAUGCACUUGUUGAAUAGUUUUAUGAGAUUGUAGGUGCAGUUCUUCAAGGGAAUAGAUCUUUAAUUCUUCUAAAGAAAACAUCUGAAUUCUUAGAAAUGGCAAACAACCAGGCAAUGUAGGUGCAACAAGAGAAUAGGCUGGAACACUUGAGCAUCAAAUCAAGCAACUAUAUAGUCUAUAAUGCCAUCAUCUAUCUAUUUUGUUUUUUAGUCUUAAUUAUAUUAGUGAUGUAUUUAUUUAGGGAUAAGCUACUAUAUAAUAUGUGACGCCUUUUCUUUUUUUAUUUUUAUUAAUUGUGUUGAUGUUUUUGUUUAUAAAUUUGGUAAUUUAAUUAACCACAUACUCUUAUUAUUGUUGAUUAAUUAUUGUUUUUUUUUUUUAAUCUGAUCUACUUAUAUAGAAUAUUUGUUUACUUCAUUUUAAUGUUAAUAAUUUAAUUUAUGAUAAAUUUAAAUAACUAUAAUGUAUGUAUGAUGGUAAUAAUUUAAUAAAAGGAAAAAAAAAGCUUAAAAAAAUUUUCUAGACGCUUUUUAAUGUCUAUAUAUUUUGCAUAUUUUCAAAUUUUAAGAGUUUCCCGCCAUAUGGGCUGACACG